rnacentral:rRNA from 1 species
CCUGCCCUUUAGUUGGGAAUAACUCAGCGAAAGUUGGGCUAAUACCGAAUGACGUCGCGUCUCCUCGGAGAUCGUGAUCAAAGGUGGUCUCUACAUGUAAGCUACUGUUUGGAGAUGAGCCCGCGUACCAUUAGCUUGUUGGUAGGGUAAUGGCCUACCAAGGCCGCGAUGGUUAGCUGGUCUGAGAGGAUGAUCAGCCACACUGGAACUGACACACGGUCCAG